CACACACUGACACUUAUAAAGAGGCGGAACAAACACAAGCUGCACAGUCUUCCUCUGUCCGCCAAAAGACGUUACAGGAGAGAUUUAAGGGAGGCAAACCAUAUCCAGGGAUUUUCAACUUCCAACGAGAGCAACAGAAAUUACAGUUGAGAAAAGUUUAACUUUCUGUAAAUAUGGAGCAACUUGCUGCAGCAACUAGCAAUGGGACUGAAGAUGAUGAUUUAUAAAGGUACAAAGCAGGUUUGACCGAUCAGGAAGAGGAGACACUGCUAAAGUGCUUACUGAUGCCUAUUGAUCCUACAGUCUCAGCUUUUCCAGUCCCUGAGGUCUCACCUGGUCCAUGGAAAAUCUAGUCAUGUUUCUGUCAUGCGGAGCAUAAAGCAAAGUCUAGUCAAACAAGUCAAACCUGAACUCAAAACUGAGAAAUAAACAAAAGCAGUUGCUCUUAGAAAACUAACUUGUCAAAUCAAUAAAUGCUUAAAGAAUUUGUUAACAGAAUAACUUUGUCAAUCUGUUUGCUUAUUCAGGAGAGUUUUAUCUUUCAUUUCUUGGUUCGAAGUUUAAUCCUCUAUUUCUUGUUUUGAAAUCGAUACUGUGGACUCAUUUGAUACUACAGUCUUCUUUCACACUUUCGUCAGUACAAAUAAAACAUGAUCUUCACACAUUUACUGAACCUCUACCAUCACUUUCUAUAACAAAGUGUAAUAUCUACUAUAUUUAUACUCUUCCAUACACUAGCAUAUAGUGAAGCAAUGAUGUUUAAUUAAACCACUUUUCUAUAUAUAGUACGUAACUCCAGGCAUCUCUUGCUCACAGCACUUCAAGAUUAGUUCAAUAAGUUGCCUAACUCCAGUAACAAAGCUAAUGUCUUAUAAUAACUUGGCAAGGUGAGGCAAGAUUACACCAGAAGCAAUGCAGCAAAAACAUCACGAAGCAACUUCUGCCCUGCACUUUUCAGUUGAACAUUACAUUAUAACAUCAGGUUUCAGUUGAGCAUUUCAUUCUGUGCUUCCACACUAUUAGUAAAUGUAUCUGUAAAACUGUCUGUAUGUAGCCUGAGGUUUUCUCGUCUAUACUCUGUGCCAGACUUCACUUGCAUGAGGUUCUGUACUAUGGAUUUAACCAGUGCAGUGAAAAAUGCUCGAUUUUAUCUGCAGAAAACCUCUUGAAUUGGUGAGACCACAAGCACUGGAUUCUUUUUUUAAACUCCUAGCAGUGAAGACACAUAUGUAAUGACUUUCUAUGAGAGAUGUACUCAUGUUCAACACACAUGAAUAGGAAAGGAAUUUGGCUGAAAGUCUCAGCACCAAUCUGCUGAAAAUCUGCAGUCAUUUUGAAAAAUUGCUCCUCUGAAUAUUGCAUUUUCUUGAUUUUGUGUACAUUUCUAUGAUUGCAAAAUCCUGGAGGGACUGAUUAAACACAGAGCAUUUAUUUCUGGGCUUUUUCCCAUUAUGAGUAAAUGUGUCUGUAAACUGUCUCUAUAUAGCCUGGGGUUUUCUUAGCUGUACUCUGUGGCAGGUAUGACUUACACAAAGUUUUGCAUUAUGGUGAUCAACCAAUGCUGUAGCAGGGUUAUACAUAAAUAAAUAAAUAAAAGAACACUAUCUUUUCUGGUCCAGAGAUCUUCAAAACUGCUUCUAGCUUUUUUGUGUUAUUCUGCAUGAUUCCAGUCUCUGGGCUGCUGCCGAUUUUUGAUUUAUUUAUUAGAAAUCAUUGUGUUAACCUUAAUGUCUAAAAUUUUUUUUCUUAUUUAAGUAGUUUCUCUGGUGGAGUUAUUUGAGAGUCAGAUGUAAAUAUGCUACUUCAUUGUGGACAAUAAACUUAGGCAUCUACAGUAAAAUGAUAUCAUGAAUGCUAUAGAUAACUGUAAUGUGGUACUACUUUCCUUGUAAUCUCAUAUUUCAGGAACAGUAUAAAUAUAGCAGAUUUUGCAUAGGAUAAUUUUUUAUGUAGAGAAUAUAGUGGUUCAGUACCCGAGAUAAUACCUCAUUUGUACUGAUAAAAAAGCCUAAGAUCACAGUAGGAUCAAAUUAUUCCACAGUAUUUAUUUAAAGACAAGGAAUAAAAGUUUUUAAAAAACUUUUUCAACAAUUAACCUCUCUCCAGAAUGAGCAGACACAUUGACAUUAUUAUUCUGGAAACAAAUUCUGUAAGCAUUUAUUGAUUUCAUUUGGCUGUUAGUUCUCAUCUGUCAGCUGCACAAACAUCAUGUUUGGCCUUUCUUGUUAGCAUGUAACCUCCACAGGUUAGCAUGUA